rnacentral:lncRNA from 1 species
GGUCAUAAAAAGCUUCUGGCUUUUCUAUUGGUUACAGUUUCUUAGUCUGUCUUGUAUCACUAACCCUGGGAGAAGGCAGCAGCCUUGUCUGGAAGCAACUCUACAGAGAGAAGCCAUGUUCAGACAAUAACUACAAGAGCCUUAAGAGGAGGCUGCAGCCACUCCCAACACUUUUGACUUCAACCUCGUAAGACUCAAAGGCAAAAGCUCACACUGGACCAUGGCCAGAAUCCUGACCAGCAAAGACAAAAACUGUGAAAUAAUAAAAUGUUCAUUGCUUAGCAGCUAUACUUGGAGGAAAUUGCUAUAUGAUGAUAUAUAACUAAUACAGAUGUUCUAGAGGCCAGGAAGGCUGUAUUUUGAAAAACAUUAAUAGAAGAGAGACUGAGUGUCCCAGUGAAGAGAUUGCUUUAACAGGGUACGAUUCCUACGCACAUCAUCUUGUGAGAAAAGUCAUGGUCUACACUGAAGGUGAUGUCUGCACCUUAGCUCAUUCAGGACCACCAAGAUGCACAGCUCAGAGGGUAUGAUUUCCAGCUGUAUUCCUUUUUCCAUGUCAGUGGUGCUCCCCUAGAGUUGUGUGGUACAUCUGUAUACAAUGAGUUCACAAAAUAGACUCGGCUGGAAAUUCAUUUAAUCUCUCUCUUUGUUCUGAAGAAACAUUUGAUACUGCCUUAUAUGAAGC